GACGAACGCUGGCGGCGUGCCUAAUACAUGCAAGUCGAACGGAGUGGCGCACGGGAGAGUAAUGUAUAGCUAAUCUGCCCUACACUAGAGGACAACAGUUGGAAACGACUGCUAAUACUCUAGAGGGUAGGAUGAGGGUAUAUUGUAUCAGAUAGUUGGUGAGGUAAUGGCUCAUCAAGGCUAUGACGCAUAACUGGUCUGAGAGGAUGAUCAGUCACACUGGAACUGAGACACGGGUCAGCAUCCGUCGGGAGGCAGCAGUAGGGAAUGUUGCUCCAUGCGUGAAACGCUGAAGGAGCAUCGCCGCGUGUAGGAGGACACUUUUCGGAGCGUAACCUCCGUUUGUUAUGGAAGCGGUACCCAACGAAUAAGCACCGGCUAACUCCGUGCCAGCAGCCGCGGUAAUUC
rnacentral:rRNA from 1 species